ACAGGACGACGCUGGCGGCGUGCCUAAUACAUAGCAAGUCGAACGGUCUUUCUAUGGAAGCUUGCUUCCACUGAGAAGAUAGUGGCGAACGGGUGAGUAGCACGUGGGUAACCCUGCCCAUAAGAGGGGGAUAACGAUCCGGAAACGGGUGCUAAUACCGCAUAGUUUUCUGAUCGCAUGAUUGAGAAAGGAAAGACGGCCUUUGUGCUGUCGCUUAUGGAUGGACCCGCGGCGUAUUAGUUAGUUGGUGAGGUAACGGCUCACCAAGACGAUGAUACGUAGCCGACCUGAGAGGGUGAUCGGCCACAUUGGGACUGAGACACGGCCCAAACUCCUACGGGAGGCAGCAGUAGGGAAUCUUCCGCAAUGGACGAAAGUCUGACGGAGCAACGCCGCGUGAGUGAAGAAAAGGUUUUCGGAUCGUAAAACUCUGUUGUCAGAGAAGAACAAGUUGGAGAGUAACUGCUCCAGCCUUGACGGUAUCUGACCAGAAAGCCACGGCUAACUACGUGCCAGCCGCCGC
rnacentral:rRNA from 1 species